GCGGAUGUAGUGUAAUUAGGCAGCAUCAGAGUCUUCCAAACUCCAGGUAUGGGUUCGAUCCCCAUUAUCCGCU
rnacentral:tRNA from 1 species